AGAGUUGAUCCUGGCUAGGAUGAACGCUAGCUACAGGCCUAACACAUGCAAGUCGAGGGGCAGCAGAUCGAAAGCUUGCUUUGAUGCUGGCGACCGGCGAAUGGGUGAGUCACGCGUGUCCAACCUGCCCUGUGCCCGGGGAUAGCCCUUGGAAAUGAGGAUUAACACCCGAUAGGUGGCGCUUCCGCAUGGCGGCGCCAUGAAACCGACACAGGAUGGGGACGCGUCGGAUUAGCUUGACGGCGGGGCGACGGCCCACCGUGGCGACGAUCCGCAGGGGUUCUGAGAGGAAGGUCCCCCCACACUGGCACUGAGACACGGGCCAGACUCCUACGGGAGGCAGCAGUGAGGAAUAUUGGUCAAUGGCCGAGAGGCUGAACCAGCCAAGUAAGCGUGCAGGACGACGGCCCUACGGGUUGUAAACUGCUUUUGCGGGAGGAUAAAGGACGCCACGUGUGGCGUUUUGCAGGUAUCCCGUGAAUAAGGACCGGCUAAUUCCGUGCCAGCAGCCGC
rnacentral:rRNA from 1 species